rnacentral:rRNA from 1 species
AUGCACGCUGGCGGCGUGCUUAACACAUGCAAGUCGAACGAUGAAGCCCAGCUUGCUGGGUGGAUUAGUGGCGAACGGGUGAGUAACACGUGAGCAACCUGCCCCUGACUCUGGGAUAAGCGCUGGAAACGGCGUCUAAUACUGGAUAUGUCCCGUCACCGCAUGGUGUGCGGGUGGAAAGAUUUUUCGGUUGGGGAUGGGCUCGCGGCCUAUCAGCUUGUUGGUGAGGUAAUGGCUCACCAAGGCGUCGACGGGUAGCCGGCCUGAGAGGGUGACCGGCCACACUGGGACUGAGACACGGCCCAGACUCCUACGGGAGGCAGCAGUGGGGAAUAUUGCACAAUGGGCGGAAGCCUGAUGCAGCAACGCCGCGUGAGGGAUGACGGCCUUCGGGUUGUAAACCUCUUUUAGCAGGGAAGAAGCGAAAGUGACGGUACCUGCAGAAAAAGCACCGGCUAACUACGUG